UAUCUUACUUCUCAAUCAAGCUUGAGUUCGUGCACUUGAAGACCUCAACAAGAUUCUUACUGAGAAGGAGGAUCUGCAAGGACAAAUUAACAUCUUAGAAAUGAAGUUGGUAGAAACUGAUGCAUGGCUUAAAGUUGCCACACAAGAAAAGAUACAUGUUGAGCUCCUUGGAAAUCAUCUUGAGAAGCUGAAGAAUGAAAUGACCGAGGAAAAGAUAGAUGGGUUGGUUGCUUGAGAAGAAAAUAUCCCCCAAUGAUGCAAAGCUAUUGAGAGAAAUGGCAUGGAAGAGAGAUGGUCGAAUGCGCGAUGCGUACUUGGCUUGUAACGAUAAAAAUGACCAUGAAGCUUUGGCUACAUUCCUCCAACUGACAUCAUCAAGGACAUGGGAUUAUCUUUUUUACUAGGCUAUUUUGUUUGACAGCCAAUUGCGUAGGUUUCCCUACAAUUGUGGCCAAUGGAUGUAAACCUUGUGGUGUCAUUUGACAUGGUCUUGUUGCAACCAUUGUAGACCUGGAUUGCAUGUUAUCCAUAUUGCAGCGGAAAUGGCACCAGUUGCCAGGGUAAAUUGAUCUUCCACCUAAAAUUCAUGAUACAUUGUAACAGUCAUGAGAAUUGUCUGCAUUUGAAUGCUUCCUUCAUUGACCUGUUUACUUUAUGUGUGCAACCAUGGAGAAACUAGGCCAGCGAUCAACACAAACUCACACUUAGAUUUUAAUUUAACCUUUCCAUUACAUGUGGUUGAAUGGACUUUCUGAGAAGUUGUGGUUCACUUUCUGGUGACUGGAAUGCAGAGAAGGUUCCUCUGCGUUCCACCAACCUUCACUUCCAUUUUCUGUUUGAUGGUUUGAACUAUUUUAGUUUCUUAAGUGGGAAAUUCUGUUGAGAUUCUUUUGGUUUGUUGCGAUUAGUUGUAAAACAGUUUCAUUAGUAUUUCUAAGUAUGUUUUAGGAGCUUAAUCACUUUGAUUACUUAGGAAGUUAGGAUUAGUUGAUGGAUUAUUCAGAGAAGUUACAAGGAUUGAUAUAAAUAGUUGAAUUCUGAGAUUGUAAAAUAAUACAGAGGCUUUUGAGAGAGAAUUCUCCUUUGUGUGUGCGCUUGGGCGGGGUUUAGUUGCUGAAUUGUAAUCGAAUCCCCUCAGAUCCCCAAUUUCCCUUUCUUCUCCCCUUUUCUUCUUGCAAACAAAGCUCCUCCAGUUAUUGUCAAAAUCGAUAGAUUCAGUGUUAUAUCAUAUAGCCCACACAAACAGCAUAUCAGUGGAAAAAUAAGCAAGAUAGGGUACCAUUACCUAAUUUCGGUUGGCUUUGCCAGAAGAAUGAUAGUACUGAUGUCUCCAUCUGCAUUUCAUGGUCCUGCUGGAGGUAUACACUUUGUCCCUCAAUUCAAGAAGAGCAUGACAGGUAGCAUGUGCAAAGAUAGUUGUGCUCGGAUAUUGGGACGAUCUGUAGUUCAGGGUUGGAUUUUUCUGCUUAUUUUCAAGCAAUUUUAGGGUUGCCUGGUUCGCCCUUCCCAAUGUAUGGGGUAGAUUAGCUCAUGUACUUUCGACUUCACAUUAUAAAAUAAAAUCAUCAAUUCUCAAAAUAAAGGUAGAAUCUGCAAAUACAUAGAUUGAUGGUACAUUGAAACAGGCCCAUUUCUCUUCUAUCAUAUAAUUGUAAAUUCCUUGACGAAAAUGUAAAUGGCUACAUUUUAAGAAUUUUUUUUUUUUUUUUUUGGUUUAAGUUGUUUAGUUGGUUAUAUUUGGAGACGUCACUUUCAGUUUAGCAAUUAGUUCCUAACCCAUUAUGCAAUUUUUCCAAGGGUUCGUGGUCUGGGGUAUGUUGUGGCAGGCCUUGGUAAAGCACUCCAAAAGAGAGGACACCUUAUGGAAAUUGUUCUUCCAAAAUAUGACUGCAUGCAAUAUGAUCGUAUCGGUGACUUAAAAGUAUAUUUAUUGUUUUUGGCUUUGAGCCAGGUGGGCGGUCACAUUAUUUUUGGCUUUUCAGGAAGAACACUGUUUCAUUUCAUAUCCUAACUAUUCUUUCAGCUCCUAGAUGCAGUGGUGGAGUUGUAUUUUUCACAUUAUUGAAGUAGUUAUUGCAAUUCAAUUCAUUAGUGCAUCCAAAUGCAACCUCAGCUAUAUCUUGCCUUGCAUUAAAAAGAAAAGUAAAUCAUUAUCAAUGGAUCUCACUUUAUCCUGUAGCUAGAAAGAAAAUUUUCCAAGUCACUAAAUACUUUUGUUUUGGAUGGACAUCUGAAUUGAAUUGCAAACAUUUAGUUCCAUUAAGGGUAAAUGAAAUUGCAGCUGCCCCUUGCAAGUCCACAUGUUUUCUAGGCCUGGAUGCUAUAAAGCCAUUUAGUUCCAUCUAAUAUUGCAGCUGCCCCUUGCAAGUCCCCAUUUUUUCUAGACCUGGAUGCCAUAAAGCCAUAUCACCAAUCAAUACCGGAACAAGUGUCUGUUUUGCUGUCCUGUAAGGCUCUAACCAUGUUGAUCAUACAAUUUACUUUCUUCCAUGCAGGAUCUUCAUUCACCAAUUGAAGGAUCUGAUUCCACGUAGCUUUGAAUUAGUCGGUUUCAUAUAUGCACUAGCACAGUGGCAUAGUCCAGAGGCACUAAUUGCACUUUUUUAAAAAAAAAAAAGGAUCAUUAUGUUAAUGAUUAUGGGAGUAUCAUUUGUGCAUACUUUAUAGCCACUACUGAUAGUCCACUAGGUGACAAAUUUCUCCAUCGAUGCAAAGGCAGAGAUGGCAGAUUCCCUGAGAAAGGUCAGUCUUUUUCAUACGAAACUAAGGAGCAAAGAUGUACAAAUGCAUUUAUGAAGAAUGUUUCUUGUUGCUAGCUUUCUGCAGCUUCAUAUGUAUGUAGAUUCUUGGGAAAAGGUUAUAGCUUAGUAUCAGGGAAUGCAAUUUUGGAGAAAUCAGACCUGGAACUUGCUCCGAAAGCUCUGAAGGAUAGGUUUAUGACAAAAAAUGUGGUUGUGCAGAUGAGACAAGCUUCGUAGGGAUACAAUCACAUUUUAUGGAGGCAUACAGGAACUUUGAUAUGGUAGAAGGGUUCCGUCUCCUUUGUUAGCUGGUGGUUGCUGGCAUUUAUCUGUAUUUGUGGUUGGUGAAUCAAGCAAGGGAAGUUGUGGUAGCUCCUAUAUGGACGGUGAGAAGCCAUUCACUAGAAUAAUGUCCUUGAUGCAAUCAGGAAGGAACCCAAUCAGAAUUGUCAGAAUGGAUGCAAUUUUUUUACACUACUCUUCUCCUCUGCUGGUCUGCUUGUGGAGCUCCCUUUUUCUUUUAUCAUUGCAGGACUGUAAAUUCCAUGAUGGGAGAUGGUCGCCAAAGUUUAUAGUCAUUGUGGCUCAAAAACCUUCAAGAAAAGGUGGGUGCUUGUAGAUGAAUCUUUAAAAAUAAAAUAAAAUUGGAUGGCCCUUCAAGAAAAUGGUACAACAUAAAUUUAUUGUUUUUUGUGUGCUUGUCUGUUUCUAACCACGGGAUGAAAGACAUGAAUUCGAACUUGGAUUUGAUCUCAAGAGUAUUUAUUCUCAAUGACUGGUUUUUGUA